rnacentral:rRNA from 1 species
UAGAAUACUCAAGCUAUGCAUCCAACGCGUUGGGAGCUCUCCCAUAUGGUCGACCUGCAGGCGGCCGCACUAGUGAUUACGGUUACCUUGUUACGACUUCACCCCAGUCAUGAAUCACAAAGUGGUAAGCGCCCUCCCGAAGGUUAAGCUACCUACUUCUUUUGCAACCCACUCCCAUGGUGUGACGGGCGGUGUGUACAAGGCCCGGGAACGUAUUCACCGUAGCAUUCUGAUCUACGAUUACUAGCGAUUCCGACUUCAUGGAGUCGAGUUGCAGACUCCAAUCCGGACUACGACGUACUUUAUGAGGUCCGCUUGCUCUCGCGAGUUCGCUUCUCUUUGUAUACGCCAUUGUAGCACGUGUGUAGCCCUACUCGUAAGGGCCAUGAUGACUCGACGUCAUCCCCACCUUCCUCCGGUUUAUCACCGGCAGUCUCCUUUGAGUUCCCACCAUUACGUGCUGGCAACAAAGGAUAAGGGUUGCGCUCGUUGCGGGACUUAACCCAACAUUUCACAACACGAGCUGACGACAGCCAUGCAGCACCUGUCUCAGAGUUCCCGAAGGCACUAAGCUAUCUCUAGCGAAUUCUCUGGAUGUCAAGAGUAGGUAAGGUUCUUCGCGUUGCAUCGAAUUAAACCACAUGCUCCACCGCUUGUGCGGGCCCCCGUCAAUUCAUUUGAGUUUUAACCUUGCGGCCGUACUCCCCAGGCGGUCGACUUAACGCGUUAGCUCCGGAAGCCACGCCUCAAGGGCACAACCUCCAAGUCGACAUCGUUUACAGCGUGGACUACCAGGGUAUCUAAUCCUGUUUGCUCCCCACGCUUUCGUACCUGAGCGUCAGUCUUUGUCCAGGGGGCCGCCUUCGCCACCGGUAUUCCUCCAGAUCUCUACGCAUUUCACCGCUACACCUGAAUUCUACCCCCCUCUACAAGACUCUAGCUUGCCAGUUUCAAAUGCAGUUCC